UCUUGCCAUUACAAUAGAUGCAUCUGAACCAUGUCAGGACCGGAAGGUAGCAGCAUUAAGGAUCAACUUCUAUGUGUAGUGGCAUUUUUU
rnacentral:SRP_RNA from 3 species